GUGACUGUAAAAGGCAGGAAGCAAAGACUAAAGCCCAGGCAGCCUGUGCUAGAGAAGUCACAUGUAUUUUGAAGAAGAUAAAUUUAUGUUGCAAUUCUUGCAUCAACACUUAUCAGCCGCUAGAUCUUGGACAGUUGACCAAGCGUCUCAAAGCUUCAGCCCCCUGAUCUAUAAAAGAGUGUGGUAACUUCUAUGAAGGAUGAUUGUAAAGGUUAAUUGAAGUUACAUGGGUCUUGUAGCACAGUGCCCAGCUCUUAGCAAAUAAUCAGUAAAUAGCUGUUAUUAACAUUUUAUUAUUUUUAUAUCUCAGCUCUCGAGACUCUAGGGAUUUCCAUUAAACUAUUUAUCUUAUUAUCAAAUAUCUCCCAAACACAGCUAUAGGCAUAAUGCUUAUAAAGUCUUGAAAUGUAUAUGUAUUCACACACAUACACACACACACACACAAUUAGAACUGCAUUAGGAUAAAAAAAUAUUCCUCUCCAACAUUGUUGAAAUUUUUAGUCUUUAUUUGUCCUUUUUUCAAAACAUCAUUAGUGUAUAUAUAGUUUCCAUACUUGAAAAUAUUUUAAUUAUUUAUUUGCUGGUUUACUCCCCAAAUACCCAGAAAGAUAGGGGCUAGUCCAGGUCAAAGCCAGGAACCUGGAACUCAACCCAACAUGGAAGGCGGGGACCCAACAACUUGAACCAUCCCCUGCUGCCUCCAGGUGGUGCAUUAGCAGGAAGCUGGAAUCGGAAAGCACAGGAGGGAAUCAAACUCAGGCACUCUGACAUGACAGGCAGAUGACCCAACUGACAGCCUAAACUGUGAACCGUCCCAGCAACUUGCAGUACUGAGGGCUUCCAUUGGUUUUCUCCUCUGCUUCUCACUCUUUUGUGAUGCUAGAGAGGACCUUAGCUACAGUCACAGCGUAGAGUGCUCCAGCUCCGUGCCUUGUUCACUUGUGUAUCUCCAGCAUCAUCCCAGCUGCCAUGGAUGGAAAUGAGCUACAUGUUUAAUUCCCAUGCCAUACUAUCUCGUGCACAGAGAUGUUUGAAGAAACAGAAAAUGGUUGAAUUCAGUUCAAUUCAGGAGACUUUUCUCUGCACCAGCAAGAAAAACAGGUAGUCAGAUACAAAUAAAGCCAGCAGAUUUAGAGACACCCCAGGAUGCUGUAACCCCAACACCAGGUAGCUGAGCCCACAUACUCUGUUGGCAAAUAAGACACUUCCAAAGCAGUCCUGGGAGACUCUGAACCUGUGCUUAGAAGCCUCCCAGUGUCAAGGAAGAGGCAGAGGAGAGUCCAAUUAAACGGAGCCUCUGUCUUCCA